CAUGUAGGCGGUUGUUUAAGUCUGAUGUGAAAGCCCUGGGCUCAACCCAGGAAGUGCAUUGGAUACUGGACAACUUGAGUACGGGAGAGGAAAGUGGAAUUUCGAGUGUAGGGGUGAAAUCCGUAGAUAUUCGAUGGAACACCAGUGGCGAAGGCGGCUUUCUGGACCGAUACUGACGCUGAGAUGCGAAAGCGUGGGGAGCAAACA
rnacentral:rRNA from 1 species